AGAGUUUGAUCAUGGCUCAGAUUGAACGCUGGCGGCAUGCCUUACACAUGCAAGUCGAACGGCAGCGCGGGGGCAACCCUGGCGGCGAGUGGCGAACGGGUGAGUAAUAUAUCGGAACGUGCCCUGGAGUGGGGGAUAACGCAGCGAAAGUUGCGCUAAUACCGCAUACGAUCUAAGGAUGAAAGUGGGGGACCGCAAGACCUCAUGCUCCUGGAGCGGCCGAUAUCUGAUUAGCUAGUUGGUGGGGUAAGAGCCCACCAAGGCGACGAUCAGUAGCUGGUCUGAGAGGACGACCAGCCACACUGGGACUGAGACACGGCCCAGACUCCUACGGGAG
rnacentral:rRNA from 1 species